rnacentral:rRNA from 1 species
CCUACGGGAGGCAGCAGUGGGGAAUAUUGGGCAAUGGGCGCAAGCCUGACCCAGCAACGCCGCGUGAAGGAAGAAGGCUUUCGGGUUGUAAACUUCUUUUCUCAGGGACGAAGAAAGUGACGGUACCUGAGGAAUAAGCCACGGCUAACUACGUGCCAGCAGCCGCGGUAAUACGUAGGUGGCAAGCGUUAUCCGGAUUUAUUGGGUGUAAAGGGCGUGUAGGCGGGAGCGCAAGUCAGAUGUGAAAACUCAGGGCUCAACCCUGAGCCUGCAUUUGAAACUGUGUUUCUUGAGUGCUGGGGAGGCAAUCGGAAUUCCGUGUGUAGAGGUGAAAUGCGUAGAUAUACGGAGGAACACCAGUGGCGAAGGCGGAUUGCUGGACAGUAACUGACGCUGAGGCGCGAAAGCGUGGGGAGCAAACAGGAUUAGAUACCCUUGUAGUC